rnacentral:lncRNA from 1 species
CCAAGAUAUUUAGUCAAAUUAAAAGAAUUAUGACAUAGAGGGUCAAUUUAGGUGGUUCCUAACACUACAGGGAGAUAACUCUGUAAAGUCAGCUAAACGUUACGCUGUGUUGUAAAAGGAAUAUUAAGCAUCUCAAUGAUCAAAAUGGGUGUUUGUCAAAUCGCUAUAUAACCAGUGUAAUUUUACUGACAAAACGGUUGGUUCAAAAUUUUAGAAAUUUUUAUAUUUUUGUUAAAGGGUCAAAGUAAAUACUUUGACAAAAUUUUAUGAAAAUUAAACGAGCCAAAUUAAUUUUAGUGAAAGUGUUGGGUACCACCUUAAAAUAUGCAAGACGAGCAAUGUAAAUGGAUCUGAAUCUUGGAUGGAAUUGGUUUAUCAUCAGCUUUAUCAUUUCUAACUUAAAAUAAGUGGAACCAUAUGCAAUAACUUACACACUAUCAAUGAUCCACUAUAAAGCACAUUCAUGAAAUAACUUAAA